UUCAGGCAAAUUGGAAUGUUAACUUCCGAGAAAUCAGUUCCCAUGCAAGAAGUCUAACUGCCCUGAAACUGCCAAGACUGUGAGGUAGCCCAAGCUAACCAUUUGAGGAAGCGAUGUGGGAAUGUGAAAAGAAGAGGGGGAAGGAGAAGGGCAAGUGGAGGACAGGGAGAAGAGAAAUAUAUUCAACUACCUUCAGCUUUUCCUGUCACCUCCCAGCCCAGGUACCAGAUAGAUACAUAAGUAAAGAAGCCUUUGGUGAUGCCAGCCACCUUCCUGACUUUCCUACACCUUUAUGAGGUGUGUUAAGUAAGAAUUGCCCUUAAGUAUCUAAAUAGAGAUAUUGAAUGACAGUGCUCAUAGAAGAUGUGGACAUCAGAGAAGACUUUUGAGGUGAGGAAAAGAGGAAUCCAAAGAAACAAAUUAACAAGAAAAUUCUUCUUAAGUAUAGAAAACCACUUAAUUACCUUAACAUCAAUCUUUAAUGUACAUUAAUUGCUUUUGUGAGC